rnacentral:misc_RNA from 1 species
GAUGAAGAACGUAGCGAAAUGCGAUAAGUAAUGUGAAUUGCAGAAUUCAGUGAAUCAUCGAAUCUUUGAACGCACAUUGCGCCCCCUGGUAUUCCGGGGGGCAUGCCUGUCCGAGCGUCAUUACAACCCUCAAGCUCAGCUUGGUGUUGGGCCCCGCCCCGGCGGGCCCUAAAGUCAGUGGCGGUGCCGUCCGGCUCCGAGCGUAGUAAUUCUUCUCGCUCUGGAGGUCCGGUCGUGUGCUCGCCAGCAACCCCCAAUUUUUUUCAGGUUGACCUCGGAUCAGGUAGGGAUACCCGCUGAACUUAAGCAUAUCAAUAAGCGGAGGA